rnacentral:tRNA from 1 species
GAGCCGAUUCUCGGGCGAGGAUCGCCGUCUGCAACACGGUGCAUGAGGGUUCGACUCCCUCUCGGCUCU